CCCAGCUAUGUAAUGGAAUACAAGCCGCAUGAUGCAUCUCUACGUGACAAUUCAUCAUACCGGAACACGUGGCUGAGGGGAUAGGGAAGAACCAAGAAGCUUCGAACUUGCAACUGAAUGUGCAGGACUGAAGUUGCACCUGUCUGGAAGCUAUUUCAGUGCAUCUACGAUUUGGUUUUGGGUUAUAAUCGUUGAUUACCUAGGAGAGAUGAUAAUAGAGUGGAUUGCUGUGUAAACUUGGAAUUUGCUCUGUUGGUUUUUCACCAGAUACCUAGAAGUCUGUCGAUUUUCAUUUCAUUUCAAACCAGGAUGUUUUACGAACUCAUGUUUAAAGUAAAGUUCAAUAGCUUUAAAAUUGUAAGGUAGCAUUAAAAUGCUUGGUUUUAAAAAGGGAACCAACCGGCAUGAAGGUUGCUCGUUUGUGCAUGCGUGUCUGUUAACUUAAA